rnacentral:lncRNA from 1 species
UUUAAAUUGACGCCAUUUAACAUCGAAAUGUCAACAUUGCGAGAUGAUAAGUAAACAUUAGUAAAUGCCAUCCAUGUGACAUUUUAACAUUAUGAUUAUUGGCGCUGAAGACGUUUUAUUUUCUUGUUCUAACCACUGAGCACAGUGCUUAGUAAUGUUCUUUGAUGUCAAGUAAUGUAUUAAAAAUAACAACUAUUGAAUACUAAAUAUAAUAGACAAUUAAUUGUGAAGCAAGUGUUCUAAGUGUUCAAGUAAAUCACACUAAAGAACUAGGAUCAGUGUAAAGGAUCACCAAAGGAUCUACAUGAAAGGACAUCAAUUAAGCAUCAUUAAACAUCAGAAUGGAACAAAAUGUUGGAUUUCCAAAGAAAGAAAAAAAUAUACUUCUUAACCAAGUGUUCAAAUUAAAAUUUAGCAAUAGUGUUGGAGAAGAUUGGAAAACUCUUGGACGUUGGUUAAAUAUUAACGAUAGCUAUUUAGGCAUGAUUGAUCAAGAUAAUACUAAAACUGUUGAGAAAGCUUAUAAUAUGUUAUCUAAAUGGAUGGAAAUGAAUAAAAAUCCAACACUUGAAGAGUUAAAAACGUCUUUAAAGAACAUGGAGAGAUUUGAUCUAAUAAGAAAAUUAGAGGAAUUAGCAAGAACAAUCCUCGCUAUGCCACUGGGUAUUACGGACGUCGCUGCAAAUAAAUUUAUUGUUAUUGAGCAUUAAAAUUCUUUUAAAUUUUUUUCUUUUUUUUUUCUUUUUUUUUUUUUUUUUCAUUUUUAAAUUUCAAUCGCAAAAUUAUUUGAA